rnacentral:tRNA from 1 species
GCGCGAGUGGCGGAAUUGGUAGACGCGCCAGAUUUAGGUUCUGGUGCCUUAGGGCGUGUGGGUUCGAGUCCCACCUUGCGCA